GACGGAGGGGGCUAGCGUUGUUCGGAAUUACUGGGCGUAAAGGGCGCGUAGGCGGAUUAGUAAGUUGGAAGUGAAAGCCCGGGGCUUAACCUCGGAACUGCUUUCAAAACUGCUAGUCUUGAGUGAAGUAGGGGAUGAUGGAAUUCCUAGUGUAGAGGUGAAAUUCUUAGAUAUUAGGAGGAACACCGGUGGCGAAGGCGGUCAUCUGGACUUCAACUGACGCUGAGGCGCGAAAGCGUGGGGAGCAAACAGG
rnacentral:rRNA from 1 species